AACGAACGCUGGCGGCAUGCCUAACACAUGCAAGUCGAACGAGACCUUCGGGUCUAGUGGCGCACGGGUGCGUAACGCGUGGGAACCUGCCCUUAGGUUCGGAAUCACUCCCCGAAAGGGGUGCUCAUACCGGAUAAUGUCUUCGGACCAAAGAUUUAUCGCCUUUGGAUGGGCCCGCGUUGGAUUCGCUAGUUGGUAGGGUAAAAGCCUAGCAAGGCGACGAUCCAUAGCUGGUCUGAGAGGAUGAUCAGCCACACUGGGACUGAGACACGGCCCAGACUCCUACGGGAGGCAGCAGUGGGGAAUAUUGGACAAGGGGGGAAAGCGUGAUCCAGCAAUGCCGCGUGAGUGAUGAAGGCCUUAGGGUUGUAAAGCUCUUUUACCCGGGAUGAUAAUGACAGUACCGGGAGAAUAAGCUCCGGCUAACUCCGUG
rnacentral:rRNA from 1 species